UCUGCCCCUCUAGAGGGAGCCACUUCCUCCCCGUGCCUCCCUCCCGCUCCCUCCCACCCCUCCCCACCUCUCUCUCUCCCUCUUUCCGGGCAAGAACUACAGUUCCGUGUGUAUCAACAGGGGCAAAUCUCCGAAGCGUAAUAUUGAACAACAGAAACAGUCUUAAACCAAGCCUGGGCCCUUUGGAGCAUGCAGCCCUGUGGCACACUCACAUGUCCGGAAGCCGACCCCGGCCUGAGCAACACAAACAAGCGAACUGCUGCCCUCUGCAGGGGUUUCCAACCAUCCUCCAACCGGCAAGCCAGGAAGACCUCUCAGGAGCCCCGUGUCCUGAUGGAGACCCUCACACAGGGUCUCCCUCUUUGGGGAAUCCUUCCCAGGCUGCUGGGCCUGGCAAGGCUUAUUACUGGCCUCAUCCUCUUCAUCUGAAGACUCAUCGAGCUCCCACUCGUCAUCUAUGUCCAUUUCAAAUACUCGUACGUGACGGAGAUUUGAGCUUAGCUAAAGAA